AUGAGUAGUUGCUAUCAACCUUAUAAAGUUCUGUUGACAAAUUUUUGUCACCCCAAAAUUUUUAUUUUCAGAAAAUUGUACGCGGACAUGAAUAUCUUCAGGAAGUUUGGCUCUAGGAAGAACUCCAAGGGUGUUAUUGGGGAGUCUUCUGACAAUGAUCUCCACCCUCGGAGGUUGGCGGAGGUACGACUGUGCGAAUGGCCGCACACCCCAUUCCUGGAAGAAGCUGGAAUUCUUGAGGAGUUCCUGCAAUAUGUUGCAAACGCCGGCCUCAUCGACUUUAUCGCAGAUGAGUGUGACCAUCAUCAAAUCCUCACAAAUAUCUUUGUUCGGAGUUUUACUUUCCUGCCUAGGAAUAAUCCUCCUGAAGUGAGCUUCAAUUUAUAUGCUGAAAACCAUCAGAUACCACUUACUGAAUUUUGUGAUAUAUGCUUGAUCCCCUCUGAUGGGAGCUUAGCCGAGCCUAGGCCGGCUGGGUUUGAGGAUUUUUAUCGCACUUUGACAAUGGGAGAGAGAGUGGUGUCAGCUACCACAGUUGCUAGCAUACACUUUCCUGCUAUACAUUAUUUUGCUUUAUUUCUUGCUAAGUGCUUUCUUGCUAGAAAUAAAGUAGGUGCGCUCAGUGCACCAGACUUUGCUGUUUUACGCCGAGCACUCGAGGGCGACAACACCCAUAGCUUGGGAGCUAUUGUGGCUCGUCGCCUCCAUCUUAAUAAAUCCCAGGGUGAAAUACAUGGUGGGAUUUUUGCUACUCGUUUGGCGGCUCUCUUCGAGGUCGAGAUACGCCCUCAUGGUUACCCUCUAACCAAGGUUUACCUAGACCGGGCAGCCAUGGAACACCAUCAUUUUCUUGCACGAGAUUAUCCUGAUAUCCCCAUUCCUUAUAACCUGGUUUUUAGCGUUAAAACUCGUGAUAUUAUUCCACUGCCUGCACCUGCUUUGUUUGAUUCUGCUGCCAGGGGCGGAUAUAGGAUCAUGCCUGCGGACAUCAUCGCCUACAGACGCUCAGGCUGCCGAGGAGGUGGCACAACUUGA
rnacentral:rRNA from 1 species